GACGAACGCUGGCGGCGUGCCUAAUACAUGCAAGUAGAACGCACAGUUUAUACCGUAGCUUGCUACACCAUAGACUGUGAGUUGCGAACGGGUGAGUAACGCGUAGGUAACCUGCCUGGUAGCGGGGGAUAACUAUUGGAAACGCUAGCUAAUACCGCAUAAUAUUGAUUAUUGCAUGAUAAUUGAUUGAAAGAUGCUAUUGCAUCACUACCAGAUGGACCUGCGUUGUAUUAGCUAGUAGGUGAGGUAACGGCUCACCUAGGCGACGAUACAUAGCCGACCUGAGAGGGUGGUCGGCCAGACUGGGAGGGAGACAGGGCCCAGAGUGCUACGGGAGGCAGCAGUAGGGAAUCUUCGGCAAUAGACGAAAGUCUGACCGAGCAACGCCGAGUGAGUGAAGAAGGUUUUCGGAUCGGAAAGCUCUGUUGUAAGAGAAGAACGGGUGUGAGAGUGGAAAGUUCACACUGUGACGGUAUCUUACCAGAAAGGGACGGCUAACUACGUG
rnacentral:rRNA from 1 species